rnacentral:rRNA from 1 species
GAUACUGGUUGUCGUGAGUCAUAGUGAAGUGGCCGGGAAUAUGUAGUGUAGCGGUGAAAUGCAUAGAUAUUACAUAGAACACCGAUUGCGAAGGCAGGUCACUAACUAUGUACUGACGCUGAUGGACGAAAGCGUGGGGAGCGAACGGGAUUAGAUACCCCGGUAGUCCACGCCGUAAACGAUGGAUACUAGCUGUCGGGACUUCGGUCUCGGCGGCCAAGCGAAAGUGAUAAGUAUCCCACCUGGGGAGUACGUUCGCAAGAAUGAAACUCAAAGGAAUUGACGGGGGCCCGCACAAGCGGUGGAGCAUGUGGUUUAAUUCGAUGAUACGCGAGGAACCUUACCAGGGCUUAAAUGCAGAAUGACAGGACCAGAGACGGUUUUUUCUUCGGACAUUUUGCAAGGUGCUGCAUGGUUGUCGUCAGCUCGUGCCGUGAGGUGUCAGGUUAAGUCCUAUAACGAGCGCAACCCCUGUCGUCAGUUGCCAACAGGUAAUGCUGGGGACUCUGGCGAGACUGCCGGUGCAAACCGAGAGGAAGGUGGGGAUGACGUCAAAUCAUCACGGCCCUUACGUCCUGGGCUACACACGUGCUACAAUGGCCGGUACAGAGGGCAGCCACACCGCAAGGUGGAGCGAAUCCUUAAAACCGGUCUCAGUUCGGAUCGGGGUCUGCAACUCGGCCCCGUGAAGCUGGAAUCGCUAGUAAUCGGAUAUCAGCCAUGAUCCGGUGAAUACGUUCCCGGGCCUUGUACACACCGCCCGUCAAGCCAUGGAAGUCGGGGGUACCUGAGAGUCGG